CUUUUGUAGGUAUUUCUUAUGGCUGAAGGUUCAUCAAGUUUCAGAGGAUACUGGUUCUGUAGGCUAAUGAAUGUAGCGGACGAAGUUAUUUUGUCUAUUCCGGACGACGCUGCGUGCAAAAUAUGGGGUGUAGACCAAGGCCCUACAAAUGUCAUGAUACACACUGAAGAUGAGUUUAUUAAAAGCUGGCCUAUCAAUUAAUAGAAUAUACAUGUGAAUACUAUGAAAAUAUGCACAUCUUAUUUGUUAACUUGCUUUUUUUAUACUUUUUGUGAACAUAUCUUUCACUGGGAGCUUAGUUACCUUGUGAUGUUAUUUAGAAUUGUCUUUUAACUUGCAGAUCUAUAGUGAUGGCCGCAACAAGAUAUU